rnacentral:rRNA from 1 species
AGGACGAACGCUGGCGGCGUGCUUAACACAUGCAAGUCGAACGGAGUUCCUUGGAUAGAGGCUUCGGCCAAUUGAAAUGGAACUUAGUGGCGGACUGGUGAGUAACGCGUGAGGAACCUGCCUUUCAGAGGGGGACAACAGUUGGAAACGACUGCUAAUACCGCAUGACACAUUCGGAUGGCAUCACCUGAAUGUCAAAGAUUUUAUGUGCUGAGAGAUGAUCUCGCGUCUGAUUAGCUAGUUGGCGGGGUAACGGCCCACCAAGGCAACGAUCAGUAGCCGGUCUGAGAGGAUGAACGGCCACAUUGGGACUGAGAUACGGCCCAGACUCCUACGGGAGGCAGCAGUGGGGAAUAUUGGGCAAUGGGGGAAACCCUGACCCAGCAACGCCGCGUGAAGGAAGAAGGCCCUCGGGUUGUAAACUUCUUUUACCAGGGACGAAUGGAAUGACGGUACCUGGAGAAAAAGCAACGGCUAACUACGUG